rnacentral:RNase_P_RNA from 1 species
GGAGUUGAACGGGUAAUCGCUGCUUUGCUGAUGUCCUUCGGGAGACUGACGUUGAGGUCCUUCGGGAAACUGACGUUGAAGUCCUUCGGGAGACUGGUAGAGGGGAGGAACGUCCGGGCUCCAUAGAGCAGGGUGCCAGGUAACGCCUGGGUAGCGCGAGCUAACGACAAGUGCAGCAGAGAGGAAACCGCCUAAGUUUAUUAUGAUGUUUCAUUGUAGUAGACCGGUAAGGGUGAAAGGGUGCGGUAAGAGCGCACCGUGCGACUGGCAACAGUUCGUAGCAAGGUAAACUCCACCCGGAGCAAGA